GGGUUGUGAGGUUAAGCGACUAAGCGUACACGGUGGAUGCCCUGGCAGUCAGAGGCGAUGAAGGACGUGCUAAUCUGCGAUAAGCGUCGGUAAGGUGAUAUGAACCGUUAUAACCGGCGAUUUCCGAAUGGGGAAACCCAGUGUGUUUCGACACACUAUCAUUAACUGAAUCCAUAGGUUAAUGAGGCGAACCGGGGGAACUGAAACAUCUAAGUACCCCGAGGAAAAGAAAUCAACCGAGAUUCCCCCAGUAGCGGCGAGCGAACGGGGAGCAGCCCAGAGCCUGAAUCAGUGUGUGUGUUAGUGGAAGCGUCUGGAAAGGCGCGCGAUACAGGGUGACAGCCCCGUACACAAAAAUGCA
rnacentral:rRNA from 1 species